rnacentral:misc_RNA from 1 species
GAUCUAGAGUGGAAACUUCUUUCUUGGGCAUGGUUGACCUGCAUAUUCUUUAUACCAGAAAUGAUUGUAAAGUCAACAACAAAUAAUUUGAAGGUGGAAAGUUCCUUUGGGAAGUUUCUGUAUCGUGAACUUAGUGCUGUUGCCGGGGCUGUCACCAUCACUUGUCUCAUGGUUGCCAAUCUUGUUGGUUUUGUCAUUGGAUCAUCGGGGAUCAAUUGGUUGCUCUCUAAAUUUCUCCAGAAAGAAGGACUACCUACUCUUGGUGGCAUGUUUAUUACGUUUUACGUUGG